UACCAGCACCCCGAGUGGUCGGGACGUUUAUUGGGCCUAAAGCAUCCGUAGCCGGUUCUACAAGUCUUCCGUUAAAUCCAACUGCUUAACAGGUGGGCUGCGGAAGAUACUAUAGAGCUAGGAGGCGGGAGAGGCAAGCGGUACUCGAUGGGUAGGGGUAAAAUCCGUUGAUCCAUUGAAGACCACCAGUGGCGAAGGCGGCUUGCCAGAACGCGCUCGACGGUGAGGGAUGAAAGCUGGGGGAGCGAACCGG
rnacentral:rRNA from 1 species